GUUUACUGUCCUGUUUAUGGUUUCUAGAGUUUAAAUAAAAUGUAUCCUGGUUGGAAAAUAUAUCGCACUUAAAAAUUCCUAUUGUGAAAUAUUGUUCAUUUAAUGCCAGAUGUAAAGAUGCAACUUUUCGGUUCAUUGAAUAAAGUUAGAGUAAAUCUGUAAUCACAAUAAUUUGGUUCAGAACAAAAAACAUCCUCUGCAAUUCCUUAUGGGAUCUGGACACAUGAAUGCUGAG